GCAGCCGCGGUAAUACGGGGGAUGCAAGCGUUAUCCGGAUUUAUUGGGUUUAAAGGGUGCGUAGGCGGUCUGGUAAGUCAGCGGUGAAAUUUCCGAGCUCAACUUGGAACGUGCCGUUGAUACUGUCGGACUAGAAUGCGGAUGCCGUGGGAGGAAUGUGUGGUGUAGCGGUGAAAUGCAUAGAUAUCACACAGAACACCGAUUGCGAAGGCAUCUCACGAAUCCGCGAUUGACGCUGAGGCACGAAAGCGUGGGGAUCAAACAGGAUUAGAUACCCC
rnacentral:rRNA from 1 species